rnacentral:rRNA from 1 species
GGCGUGUGUGAACCUGCGGCACGGCUCGGCGGCGUACAGCUGCGCGCGUGCGUUGGCUUGUUGGUGUAGGCACGAGGGGCUUGGCGAGGUUUUCUGGUUUUACGUAGCCUCGAUAGAUACGCAGGCAGAGAAGAAGAGGUGGGCUAGUAGGUUCGUAGGCGAGCUUGUUCCGCGUGCUCGGCUCAAGGGGUGCAGACAGAGCCCCAACGCACUGUGAUGGCCCGUGACGUUGUCGUGCCCUCGGUACCGCGCCCUCCUCCUUCCUGGGCGUUACUACCUGCGGCGCCCCGCUGCGGAGGCGCACCAGAGGCGCGUGGAUCUCGGCGUCCGGCCGCGGUGGCGCUCGGAGCGGCGAUUGGGGUGGCGGCCGCUCAUGCGGGUGCACGUCCCGAUGUCGCAACAAGACGGACUUUUCAACGUUUGACCUUUCACCUUACACAUGGCUAGACGUCUCAGUGGAGACGCAAAUUAAUUGUCUAAAGGACGAUGAGGUCUGUAACCUUGUGACGUACUAUUAAAACAAAUGUUUACCUACUGCAUACCUCUUCGAUCAUGUUCGUCCAGACGUUAUCCAAGACCAGAAUAAAUAGUACCUUGUAGACUUCCACGUGCGUAACCAGACAUAAAAUAUUUGUCUGGACUCACCUAGUAUCAACUAGUACGAACACGACGUAUAAGUAUACAUAGACACGGUGAAAUACUAUGAGAACCAGGUCUACGUCAAGUCAAGUAACACUUGGUACGUUGUCAUCUUCGAUAAAAGACACACGGAGUUUGCGAUUCGUGAGACGAUUCGAAGGAUUGAGUUUACGGUACACAAGCAGAAUAUCACCAUCAACCACCUCUGUUACGUUUAUACGGUAGACGUUGUCGUCGACGACCUCACCUUUAGUAUUGAAUGAGGUCCAAUGUGUCGGUCCCUUUCUACUCAAGAGUUUGAAUGGCAGGAGGUUUUGGACUUCUACAACGGUGAUAGACGAUGUGCUCACCGUGAUGACCGUGUGGUUUCCCUCGACAAGAAAGAGUACUCUUGAAUUAUCGCUUACAACGUCCUAGUUCGAACCCGCAAUUCAAAAUGGGGAGGCUGCACAUAUAGAGUAUAGAUGGAAAUCGAGUGUAGAUACUCUCUCGAUUGGUUUAACGUGACGAAGUGAUACCACAACGGUAACCUAAAAUGGUUCCCCUAUUAAACUUCGACUACCUACUAAACCGACGAAACUCUGGUUGGCAUAAGCGUUCACAAGGGGCCGAUAUAUUGUCUUAAAUAAGACGUUAGUGUUUACGACACUUCCUAAGGCCACCCGAUUUUCUUUCUAAUAAGGCAUGACGCAUGUUGCGGUUCUCUGUUCGUGAAUACUUACCUGCUUUAGGAAGGGGUUACACCCUAUUCAACCAUAAAUUAUUUUAUUUUCGAUCCGAACCACCUGCUCACUCCGAAUACUGAAGUCCGCGAAGAGGUAACAGUCGUCUACAUUACCUUAAGGAUUCUUAUACGAAACCACCACUCCAAGAACUUCCGAUACCUUACUGUCUCUGUAGAACACAGUAGUGAUGUUACCUAUAACCACUGUUUAAUUAACCAGUACAACCUAGUGGUUUGGGAAGGACACUCCAAUUUGAACACCUACAGGGUCUUUACUUAAUGUGAAGACUCCUAGUUGGUAUAGGAGCACCUCUUUAGACACAAUCUCCUGGAUGUUAUAAGGCGCCAAUGAUAUUUCUGCUUCAGGUUUGUUCUCUACAGUAACUGUUACUACCGACCAACGUGUGACCUCUGUAUCCAAACACCGACGGACCUCCCGCAGAUUUUUAAUAUCUAUCCUUUUUCUUGUAAAAGUUCAACCGAGUUCCUCUCAUGUAUCGAGGUCUCUUCUAACUCUUACACAUGCGAUUCACGUUCAAGUAACGAGUUACGAAAUAUAUACCACUAUCAAAGUUGAGAAAAGAUCAACGGUAACAUCGUCAACUUGGUCUACAAAACUUCCGAACCCGACGUAGUCUUCCUUAUGUUUCGCUCCUAAAUUCUGUCGAAACACGACUGGGUUCUCGUUUUCGACGACAGAACCGACUGUACCUAAGAUAACCUUUCCUUCGUGUCGAUUCUCCAAAACUUAAGCGGUUUCGACAAUGAGAACAACGACUUGGUAAGUGUCAUCUUUUACCAGAGGAGUGGGGGUGCAAGUUCCAGUUUUCUGGCGUUCGAUUCCGGAUAAAGCGCUUUCUUGAGCGUCUAUACAUACGUGUCGACGCACUGCGGCUUAGUCGAUCCGUCUUCAACAUUAAUUAGCUCUUUACAAGUCCUCAUUCCAAGUUUGGUUAUGUCCUGUCCAAGUGUGUUGCCUCAUUCCUAAAGAGCAAACGAGGUACUCGUCCUUAUGGAAAGUCGGCAGUUGUCAGUCCUCACCACAACCCACACCAAUAAAAAUAAAUAUAUUUCCUUAUUUCACUUCCGGGGUAAUAUCUUAUAGCAAGCAAUAAAACCAUCUUACGCCAAGUACAGAGGAACGACGACGUGUUCCAUAUGUUUUCUGACUUCUAUAUGGAUAUGGACAUUAAAUAUCCUUUUGUAAGACAUUGGUAGUCUUACAAGUUAUAUAUACAAUGUAAUUCCGUUUUUAACUCUUCUUGUACAAAUGGCCUCGCCAAUC